GACGAACGCUGGCGGCGUGCUUAACACAUGCAAGUCGAACGGAGAGGCCCUGCUCUUGUGGGGUGCUCGAGUGGCGAACGGGUGAGUAACACGUGAGUAACAUGCCCUUGACUUUGGGAUAACAUCAGGAAACUGGGGAUAAUACAGGAUAGAAGAUCCUGCUGCAUGGUGGGGGUUGGAGAGAUUCGGCGGUUGUGGACGGACACGCGGCUAAUCAGCUUGUUGGUGGGGUAGUGGCGUACCAGGGCUUUGACGGGUAGCCGCCCUGAGAGGGUGACCGGCCACAGUGGGACUGGGGUACCGCCCGUACUGCUACGGGAGGCAUCAGUGGGACACAGUGCGAGCUGGGCGGAAUCCGUAUGCAGCAACUCCGCGUGCUGGAUGACGGUCUUCGGUCUGUAACCCGCGUGCGCCUGGGACGAAGAGUGAGUGACGGUAAUGUGUAAAGAAGCACCGGCUAACUACGUG
rnacentral:rRNA from 1 species